rnacentral:rRNA from 1 species
GACGAACGCUGGCGGCGUGCCUAAUACAUGCAAGUCGAACGAACAGCCGCUUAGCCUUCUUCACGUCUGUGUGAGGCGGGCAGGUGAGUGACACACGGGUAGCCCCUAUCCUUAACUGGGGGAUCAUCAUGGAAAACUAGCUCAUAUCCGACAAAAAUUUGCACCGCACGGUUCCAAAGUGGAAGACGCGGUUUCUGUCACUACUAAAUGGAUCCGCGCUGCAUUAGCUAGUUGGUAGGGUAACGGCUUACCACGGCAACGAUGCAUAGCCGACCUGAGAGGGUGAUCGGCCACACUGGAACUGAGACACGGUCCAGACUCCUACGGGAGGCAGCAGUAGGGAAUCUUCCGCAAUGGGCGAAAGCCUGACGGAGCAACGCCGCGUGUGUGAUGAAGGUCUUCGGAUCGUAAAGCUCUGUUGUUAGGGAAGAACAUAUGUGUAAGUAACUGUUCACAGCGUGACGGUACCUAAUCAGAAAGCCACGGCUAACUACGUG